rnacentral:rRNA from 1 species
CCUACGGGUGGCUGCAGUCGAGGAUCUUCGGCAAUGGACGCAAGUCUGACCGAGCGACGCCGCGUGCGGGAUGAAGGCUUUCGGGUUGUAAACCGCUGUCAGUGGGGAGGCCUAUCCGCAGAGGAAGCAAGGGCUAAGUUCGUGCCAGCAGCCGCGGUAAGACGAACCUUGCUAACGUUAUUCGGAAUUACUGGGCUUAAAGGGUGCGUAGGCGGUGCAGAAAGUCGGGUGUGAAAUCCCCCAGCUCAACUGAGGAAUUGCGCCCGAAACUACUGUGCUUGAGGAAGAUAGAGGUACGCGGAACUUAGGGUGGAGCGGUGAAAUGCGUUGAUAUCCUAAGGAACACCGGUGGCGAAAGCGGCGUACUGGGUCUUUCUGACGCUGAGGCACGAAAGCUAGGGUAGCGAACGGGAUUAGAUACCCUUGUAGUC